CUCCUCAUUGGAGGUUCAGCUAGCGGCAGCUAGAGCUUCCAAAGCUGACAAUGGUGAAGGAUCUCCAGUGGUUACUAAAACAGGAAGGGAGCCAUUGAAAGAGCGCCAGAAGGUUUUCUUUGUCAUGGGAAUCAUGACUGCCUUCAGCAGUCGAAAACGAAGGGAGUCAAUCAGGGAAACGUGGAUGCCCCAAGGGGACGAGUUAAAGAAGUUAGAGACAGAAAAGGGAAUUAUAAUGCGGUUUGUUAUUGGACACAGUGCAACUCCAGGUGGCGUCUUGGAUCGUGCCAUUGACGCGGAAGAUGAGAAGCAUAAGGAUUUUUUGCGACUG